rfam:Salmo salar isolate Sally breed double haploid chromosome ssa02, whole genome shotgun sequence.
ACAAUACAUGUAUGUUUUAAGUCACUCUGGAUAAGAGCGUCUGCUAAAUGACGUAAA